rnacentral:lncRNA from 1 species
UGAAAUGAAUCUAGGGCAGAUCGAGUGCAUUCAUCCACUAAAGUCCUUCAAAAGUGGAUGAUCUCCCAACCCUCUGCCACCUCCCCUCAAAUACAAAUGAUCAUAGCUCACAGUUACCAUGGCCUCCUGAGAAAGUAGGUUUUGCCAACACUAUAUUUUUUCAGUUUCCUUGGGAAGAGAUGCUACAGGGGUUUCUCUGUUAAUCAAAACAGUUUCUGCCUUCAAAAUAUAUCUCAGUUAUCAUAAUGUCUAUGUUUUGUUCACAAUUUCAAGGACUUUUUCAGGAGCUACUGGGAAGAGAGACUCACCUUUCCUCCUAAGCAAGAAAUUUGAAAAACACCUUGUCAUAAGAAACCUGAGAAUCAACUCAACAUGAAGGAAAACAGAAUCUAGAGAUGGAGACAUAGCAGAUCCUAGAGUUAUUAUUUGAAUUUCUGGAACAAGCACUAUCUGAAGCCAUUAUCAUUUGUCCUUUUCAAUUACUCAAGCCAAUAAACUUCUCUUAUUUCUGUUUGAUUUUAGCAGAGUUUAUUUUUCUUUGUUUGUCAAAUAAGGUGGAUAUGGAAAUUUGAAAUUAACUCUUUUGGAAAAUUCAAGUGGUGGAUUCUUC